ensembl:lncRNA
GACAAGAUGCAAAAAUUUUCAUUAUUCUCCUGCCUAAAAAUUAGAAAUAACUAGGGAUGCACCAAAAUAAAAAUUCUUGGCCAAAACCAAAAAAGAAAAAUUCUAGAUGCACAGAAAUUUCCUGUCAGCGUGUUAUUUCGUUGGACCGGUACACAAGCGGAACACAUUUUUAUGGAGCAAAAUAUUGAGCGGAGCAUCACACCGUUCAGUGACAGCAGCUAGACAGAGAGUGAAACCUGCAUAUAUGUUCAGCUCAUAUCUUUGUCCAUUUUUCUCUUUUGGCCAAAAAAUGAAAAUGCCAUUUUUGGCCAAUAAUUUUCAGCACAGAAAUUUCGGUGCAUCUCUAGAAAUAAAAAUUCUAUCUGUUUUGUUUUUGUCUAUGCACAAGGAGAUUAAUGCUGUUGGAGAGGAUGCUACAUCAAUAGAGGGACAUGUGAAAGUCCUGCAGGACCAAUAUAGAAGGACACAGUCAGAGACUCACAUUGUUGAAUAUCGAAUGAGGAGGAACUUUGCCUGGAGGCGGCAGGAGAUUACUAGUGGUAUGACUGUUGAAGAUAUCGUCAACAAAUAUCCAUUCUUGAAGAGUCCAUCAGGGCUUUAUCAAGAAAUUGGUUUCCUGUAUAAAUGUGUUCAACUGAGCCGUCAUUUUCGAGAACAUUUUGGACACAUUACAUCCAGCGUGCUACGGCUUGCUCAAGGGAAAUCCCCUUUAGCAAAGCUGCACAAAGAAGCUAGAGAAGAAUCUCUCAUUGAAGACCAUCUUGUGACUCCUAAACUUUUAUUUAGCACUUUAUUAAGCCUAUCAAAUUCUUGCCUUUGAUAGAGUUUUACAUAUUUGUUUGUGUAUCACAUUUUAUGUUCCAGGAAUUGAUUUUAAAGCAGCACUUCUCGUGUUGCCAGCCUUGUUCAGAGAAAAACUUGAACAUUUCAUUGUGCUUGGAGAGGUGCGUAUAUAGUUUUAAAUUUCUGUGCAAUCCUUAAACUGUAUUUUGGCCAAAUGCAAAUGAGUGAAUAUUAAUUAUCUUAGUCUUUAUGCAUGUCAAUUUUCUCUCCAUCAGUUUAGUCAACUGCUGAGAAAAUUUUACUGAUACAGAAUCUGUUUUUUGCUUUGUCAUUUAGAGUGAACCAUCUUCACCAUAUCAUACUGUUCAAGUAGAGGAGACCACUGACUGGAAAACUGUGUUUACAAGAAGAGUCACUGCAGUCAUCAGAGUUGAUGGGAUCGAGAUAGACGAACGGUGUGGAUGAAGGGGCUCUUGCAGCAUUUUGUGCUUAUUUCGUCUUCAAUUUGACAUAUCCAUCCCAUUUGAAGAACACCCUGGUGUUUCUUCAGUGGUAUGUUUUGAGAGUUACUGUGGAUGGUGACAAGCCUCUACCUACCCCAGUUACCAGAAUAAUCAACCUUNCUAUGAGUUUCUUUCUUGAGAGAGUGGGUAUUACUGUUGUACCAUGGCACAGUACGUUUUUCUCUAACCUUUUUCAAUUUGAUGGGGGCAACAGCUUCUAAUAUAUUAGAGAAGAUAGUGCCCAUGUUCCCAGUCAUUUCGUCUAGUUCAUGUGUAUUUAUGGGUACACAGAGCAGUUGAGAUAAAUCAGGCAGGUUAUUUGCGAAUCUGUCUUUGGUGGCUGGAACAAUAGUUCUGUCCGGACGAUAACGCGCAGCCAUAUAGUUAUUAUCAUCAAUACGCAGAAUGCACUAUACAAGGAAAUGGUCAGUGACAUCAUCACUUUGAGGUACGAUAUCUAUAUCGGUAAGAUCGAUUCCGUGUGAUAUAAUUAAAUCUAGCGUAUGAUUAAAACGAUGAGUGGGCCCGGUGACA